GAGAUGAGUUCUCCCUGACUCCUUGAGAGUCCUGAAGGAACGUUGAAGACGACGACGUUGAUAGGCCGGGUGUGUAAGCGCAGCGAUGCGUUGAGCUAACCGGUACUAAUGAACCGUGAGGCUUAACCUUACAACGCCGAAGGUGUUU
rnacentral:rRNA from 1 species